GAUAAUGUGGAUAGGCAUUAUGGCUUUGGUCAAUGUACAUUCUCCCCACCAUAGCCCCACCAGUUGGGAUCUCAGUUGUUUAUCACCACAUAGCCAAUAUAUGUCCCCAACUGUCUUUACAUGAUUCAUUAAUAAUGCUAUGCGUGGAUCAUGAUAGGUAGAGCAAUAACCAGAUGGGAAUUUGCCCAUAAAUGUACCUGUGUUCAU